AUAAAGAAAACCAACCACAACACACCCUCCAUACUCUAUCCUUUAAGCUAAAAGAAAAGCUUCUCUCUUAUUCCCUUCACUUGUCUUCUUCUUACAAUCCACAAUCAUCAUGCAAUGAUGAUUAGAUUUUAUACAUAUGUAUCUUCUUUCAUCCUAUGAUAUAUAAGGCUAUGAUAUAACAAAAUAAUAUACAAAGGUAUAUUAUAUAUCAUAUGCAUAAAAAAGAAGGAAAAGAAAAGAGAAUUGUUAUUGCAUAUAUGGGUAGUAAUAGCAUUUUUGUUUGCAAGGUUAUUGUUUAGAGCAUUAUUAGUGUUGGUCUUGGUGGGGCUUGUUGGUAGCAAUGGAGGAAGAACAAGAAAGGCUUCAGAAACACUACAAGUGAAGAAGAUAGCUAGAGAUAACAACAUGAUGAGCAAUAACAAUAGGAGGGUUUUCAAUGGACCAGAUCCAAUUCAUAACAGGAGAGCAGGAAAUAAUUCUGGUCAACCUCCCGGUCAAUCUUAGUCAACAUAAAAUUCUACAAGCUUCACCCACCAUUUUGGAACAUGACGAGGAGUAAUUCUUGCAUAUACACCUCAUAUUUUGGGACAUAUAUGGAAGGCUAAAGAGGGAGGGGUAAAAAAAAGAAAAGAGAAGCUUGUGCCACAGAAGAUAAGCUCAAAGCAAUGAAAAACAAAGUUUUGUUAUGUCUCACAAAAGCAACUACUCCUAAUUUAAAUGACAUAAUUUUUCCUUUUUCAUUUAGAGACCUUGAAUUUAAAUCUCACUCUUGACUUUGAAAAAAAAAAAAACAAAUUGUGGGAUUUAUACCAUUUUGUUCUAAAGCAAAAGACAACUAACCGUUAUGGGUGGGUUUCCAUGUAACAUAAUACAAAUAUUUCUAACAAGGCCAGUAUGAGAGCGAGAAUGAGAAGCACUUUGUAAUAAGCUUACAUAAUAUUGGUGAAUAUGUUCUAAUAAUAAACAUUUGGAGAGUGAUAUUUAUAACGAGAAACUCUUG